AUGUAAGAGCGACCUGGCUGCGACAUCUGUCACCCCAUUGAUCACCAGGGUUGAUUCAUCUGAUCUGGCUGGCUAGGAGGGUGUCCCCUUCCUCCCCAACU
rnacentral:sRNA from 1 species